GAAAAGUUAGCUAUCUGCAGGAAUGGGAAAAAGACGAGCAGGAUAGCUCGGAAAGCGUGAUGAGCCAACCAAACAUUGCCUCUCUCCACCUGCAACCAAUUUCCAAACUCUUGCUUCCUGGGGCUCCAAACACAAAGCCGAGUUUAUAACCAGAGAGAAAUGUUGAAACAACAAUCUAAAGAAACCAAGCUUCUUAGCACUGGAAUAAAAGAUUCCUGGGGUGUGGAGAGCAGCACAUGCUGCAAGAUUCCUAAUUGAUAAACACCAAGGUGAGAAGCUAAGCUCAAGAUAUCAUCUUAUCUAGAAACCUUUCCUUUGAUAGAUCACAUACUGGGUCACAAAACAACCCUUCAUAGGUAUACAAGAAUUGAAAUCAUACCAUGCAUACUUUCAGACCACAAUGCUAUGAAGCUUGAA